rnacentral:rRNA from 1 species
UAGGGAAUCGUUCGGCAAUGGGGGCAACCCUGACCGAGCAACGCCGCGUGAGUGAAGAAGGUUUUCGGAUCGUAAAACUCUGUUGUUAGAGAAGAACACGAGUGAGAGUAACUGUUCAUUCGAUGACGGUAUCUAACCAGCAAGUCACGGCUAACUACGUGCCAG